rnacentral:rRNA from 1 species
UUUACUCGGGGAUAGCCUUUCGAAAGAAAGAUUAAUACCCGAUAGCAUAAUGAUUCCGCAUGGUUUCAUUAUUAAAGGAUUCCGGUAAAGGAUGGGGAUGCGUUCCAUUAGGUUGUUGGUGAGGUAACGGCUCACCAAGCCUUCGAUGGAUAGGGGUUCUGAGAGGAAGGUCCCCCACAUUGGAACUGAGACACGGUCCAAACUCCUACGGGAGGCAGCAUG